AUGGUGGCUUCUUCUCAGUCUCUUAACAAGCUCCAGGCUCGCUCUUUUAAAAACAAAACACUUGUUGGAGCCUUAGCACCCUUGAUCUACUCCUCCUCUUAACAAAACAUCUUCGAAAGGGCAGGGGACACAUGCUCUGCCUACAUGCGCUUACCUCCCGUUCACCCCUCUGCUCUCUUCGCAUCUCCGAAACUGCUUUCAAUAAGGCUUCCAGAAAUCAAAUCUAGUGCACCCUGAGAGACUGAAUAUACAAAUGAACGAUGCCAAACUAUAUACAAAAAUAGAACUUUGGCCAACAACCUGCAGCAACCAGGUCAGAAAACCAACCCCCUUGUCUACAAGGAACCACCCGGGAAGCCACCCUGCUGUAGGACCAACCAGAGAAGCCAAAUAUGCAUCGCAACCAACCACAUGGGAUGCCCCGCUUCCAGAUAGCCCACCUGCAGAUCCCUGACGCCAACAGCCUCCAGACAGGGCACACCUGGAGCCUGCCCUUUUCUACUCUAAAGCUUCCCCACUCCUCUGCUGCCUUUGGGUCUCUGCCAAAAUGCAGGUGAUGGCGGCUGACUCCCUUGCUGCAGCAAGCCCUG
rnacentral:lncRNA from 1 species